CACAUGGGAAAUACUGAUUCCCAUAUGAUCACCGAAGUUAAGCAACAUUGAACCUGGUCAGUACCCAGAGAGGUGACUGCUUGGGAACACCAAAUGCUGUA